AGAGUUUGAUCAUGGCUCAGGAUGAACGCUAGCGGCAGGCUUAAUACAUGCAAGUCGAGGGGCAACAGGGGUAGCAAUACCUGCUGGCGACCGGCAAACGGGUGCGGAACACGUACAGAACCUUCCUUUAAGCGGGGGAUAGCCCAUAGAAAUGUGGAUUAAUACCCCAUAGUAAUAUUUGAUGGCAUCAUUAGAUAUUUAAAGAUUUAUCACUUAAAGAUGGCUGUGCGGCUGAUUAGGUAGUUGGUCGGGGUAACGGCCCACCAAGCCAACGAUCAGUAACUGGUGUGAGAGCACGACCAGUCACACGGGCACUGAGACACGGGCCCGACUCCUACGGGAGGCAGC
rnacentral:rRNA from 1 species